GAGACUGGUACCCAGAGAGACAACUACCCUGCAUGUCCAGGAGGAGGAUCUAAAAUCACACCCCAACCCAACUGCACUAGAUGGCAAUAUCACCAAGCUCAAAACUGAGAAGGGGGCUAGUCAAAGUAAAAAAAAGCAGAAAGCAAUGCUGCCCAAAACAGGAAGGUCACAGAUUAUUAUCCUAUUAGACAAGAGUUCCAGAAAAAGCAAAGCUGAAUUGAAGGCCAAACAUAUAGAGGGGAAGGGAAGAGGAGUAUUUGCUGUCAGAUAUUUCAAGAAGGGAAAGUUUGUAAUUGAGUAUCAUGGAGACUUGAUGCAUCUGGCUGAUGCCAAGGAGAGAGGCGCUCUGUAUGCCCAAGACCCUGGGACUGGCUGCUACAUGUACUAUUUCAGCAAAACAUACUGUUAAGAUUUUUAAAGGUGUGGAUGCUACAUAAGAAUCAACUCGCCUGGGAAGGCUGCUAAACCACAGUAAAACUGGCAACUGCCAGACCAAACUCCAUGACAUAGAUGGAAUAACACAUCUCAUACUGGUGGCUUCCAGGGAGACUGAGUCAGAGGAAGAGCUGCUUUAUGACUAUGGUGACCGCAGCAAGGAAUCCAUCUCGGCUUACACUUUGCUCAAAUACUGAUGUGCUGUUUUUACACCAACAGAGUAUUCAAGAGAAUUACGAAGUGCAUUUGAUUAAAGCUUUUUUUUCUUAUUCUUGGCCCUGAAUAUUCCCUUGGCACUAAACUGCCAACUUGGCAUUCCAGGUCAGACAAAUUAAGUGGCCGUUUUGUUUAUUUUUAAUCUGCCCUUUCAAGCAAUGUAUUUGGGCAAAACUGUGGCAGUAUGAACAAUAUUGAAGACAACCUUCAAGAUGACACAUGGAUCAAUUUGUUAAAACUGUAUAUCAAUAUAUUGCUGGAUUUGGGGGUAGUUUUUAUACAUAUUUAGGCCUGUGCUUCCAAGAAGAUAUGAAUAAUAUUUGUAACAUUAGCUAUUUUUUUUAUGCCGUUUUUAUAUUUGUUCUAAUUUAUAAUGCUAGGUAUGGUUCUAGUUGAAGCAACAAUUUUCAUAUGAUCGUCAAUGCUCUCCAGGCUUCUGGGACACCAGCUUAUUCUUGAUUUUAAAUGUAGAUAUUUUGCAAUGGGUGAAAUCCUAAUACAUUAACAAUUUACAAAGUAAGUUGCUCUUUGAGAGUAAAUUAAAUGUACAUAGACAAAUCUGUUCAGAUAUCUGGCUAGCAUGGAAGCUCCUUUUGCAAUGAAUAGAAAAGCUAGCUUGGCCUUUUGACAAUGUACCACUUAAUAUUCACAGACAUGUAACAGUCCAACAUCCUCCCUGUAGGUCAGUGUAUUACAAAAUGUGUAACAAAUGAAGUGAUUUGUAACUUUAUCAUUCUAAACAGCUUUCUUUUACAGCUGCUCUAUUAUUUGAAAGGUAAAAUGGACUUUAAAAGCCCUUGUGUGAACUAGUGUAAAAUAGUUAUGCUCAGUCACUCCGAGCCUACAAUGUACAUUUUUAUGCAAUUUCUGGACAAGGAACAAUUUUGGUAACACUUUUAUAUUUGCUACAAGAGCUUAUAUAUUUAUCUAAUCGACAAAUCAUUUUGGGAAGGAUUCAUUACCAUGAUCUGUGCUACUCAACCCCAAGGUAGAGGCAGAUUAUGCUGAUGGGAUUCAGGUGUAUGAGUUAGGUAUAGUGAAUCUGGGGCAGUAUAGUGGUCAUGGGCUCGAUUCCAUCAGUAUCGCUGAAGUUCAGAAUUAAAAAGCCAUUUCAAAUUGAACUGACAUGCAGCGUUUGCCUUAAUGUUGAUUGCAUCUCUUUAGCACUGUAGAUAGAAUCAAGCCCUUGGAGGUCCUGUCUUUGUCUCUACUAGGGCUACUGUUGCAACCAGUCUUGAAUGUUGGUCUUUGAACAGUUCCAUCGUCACAAUGUUCAACCACGUGUCCAAAGGAACUGUUACAGUUCCUUUGUUUGAGGACACAGGUGUGAGUCUGUACCAAUGAUGUAUAUAAACCCUGGAUCGCUAAUGCUAUAUUUUGACCAUUGAGAGGUUUUGAAGACAUCAGCAUUUCAAUUAAAAUGUUAAGGAAAAACAUUUAAGUCAUCUCAAUAGUUUAUUUUUGUUUUGCUCAUAAUUUAAAAGUUUACAUUGGUGUUUAAUAGAAUAAAUGUGGCAAACUAACCUGGACAAACGCAUUUCUAUAGAGUACCACAGUAUGAGUCAUAAUACCCAUUAAGCCUAAUGGUCAAACCAGGAAAUGGUUCCAAUUGAUUUUCCACCAUUCAUUUUUCUCAUGGGGGAUUUUAGAAGAGCUGUGUGUCAUGAAGGCUUACCCUGGCGUGACAUUUUGAUAACCAUGUGAAUCUCUCAUUAGACAAGAUGAUUUAUCAAAAUAUUUACCCCCAACAAAUGAAACGCUAAUUAGUUGCUAAUCAGUAAGAACUACAAAUGCCAUGAGAUGGAUGAGUGACAAAUUAUAGUAAAAAUCUCUGGAUUAACCAUUAGCUAAAUGUAAUAAUAAAUAAAAUUGGUAAUUCUGUGAAUGGUCUGGAGUUAAAAAUGUACACUACCUGUUAGCAAAGGCGUUAACUAGAGUUGACGUGCAGGGAUUUGUAGUCUUGCAUGAUGUCUACUUUGAUGCUAAUUAGCAUUUGAGUCAGUAAAUAGCACAAAAUAUAUUUCAGUCACCUUGCCUGAAAGCAAUUUAGAUGGUUAACAAAAAUGUCACGCCAGGGUAAGCCUUCAUGACACACCCUUCAACUGUUUCUAUAAUCCCCUAUGAGAAAAAUGAAUGGUGGAAAAACAAUUGGAACCAUUUCCCCGUUUGACCGCUAGACUUUAUGGGUAUUAUGACACCACUGUGGGGCAAUUAAUUUUUUGUUUUUACAAUUGUGUAGGAUUGCCAAAAUGGGCACGCGGUGGCUUCUACACCCCCCGGAAAGAUGAAUGGAGCUAAGUACAGAGAUCCUUGAUAAAACCCUGCUCCAGAACACUCAGGGCCUCAGACUGGGGUGAAGGUUCACCUUCCAACAGGACAAUGACCCUAAGCACACAGCCAAGACAACACAGAAGUGGCUUAGGGAUGUGUCUCUGAAUAUCUUUGAGUGGCCCAGCCAGAGCCCAGACUUGAACAUCUCUGAAGAGACCUCAAAAUAGCUGUGCAGCAACACUCCCCAUCCAACCUAACAGCUUGAGAGGAUCUGCAGAGAAGAAUGGGAGAAACUCCCCAAAUACAGGUGUGCCAAGCUUGUAGCAUCAUACCCAGGGAGACUCGAGGCUGCAAUCCCUGCCAAAGGUGCUUCAACAAAGUACU